CGUCUUCUGAAGGCGUGUAUAUGUGCUACGGGAAACGAAAGGAAAAGAGGAACCCCAUGAAGCGGAAUGUUGUUUGCUGGAAGAGUGGAGAGCCUGGACACAUGAAGAAAGAUUGUCCAGCAGGUGGAGAAGGUUCGGCUAUAGGCUCCAAGUCAAGUGAUGCUGUUAAUAUGGUCUUUGAUAGGAACCCAUAUGACCUUAUAUGACCCAAAAACAUGUACAUCCUUAUGGCAUGCCGCUAUUUGCCAUGGUAAAAGAUGUGAGAUUAAUAGCGGAAUUACACAGGGGCAUUGGUUUGGCAGGAAUGCAAGGUGUGUGAUGAAACAGUUAUGUCGAUAGCUGAUGGACUUCCAAGGAGAGCCAAUAGUGGAGGUUGCACCAUAAUAAUCAGUAAGGUGUUUUUCGACAUCAGCCGAAGUGGAAAUUCUUAGAAUGGCUUAUUCUAAGU
rnacentral:lncRNA from 1 species